CACGUAGGGCGCAAGCGUUGUCCGGAAUUAUUGGGCGUAAAGAGCUCGUAGGCGGUCUGUUGCGUCCGCUGUGAAAACUCGGGGCUUAACCCCGAGCCUGCAGUGGAUACGGGCAGACUAGAGGUAGGUAGGGGAGAAUGGAAUUCCUGGUGUAGCGGUGAAAUGCGCAGAUAUCAGGAGGAACACCGGUGGCGAAGGCGAGUCCCUGGACACUUCCUGACACUGAGGCACGAAAGCUAGGGGAGCAAACAGG
rnacentral:rRNA from 1 species